rnacentral:pre_miRNA from 1 species
CGGAUGUACAUCAGAGAGACUAGAAGAAAGAUAAAACUGUAGGUUUCUUCUAGUCUCUCUGAUGUACAUCCACGCUAGCUACAGUUUUAUCUUUCUUCUAGUCUCUCUGAUGUACAUC